rnacentral:rRNA from 1 species
AUGGCCACCUCUACCACCACCACCACCGCUCUCCACCCCCAGUUCCGGCCGCCGUCGCACCCACGCGCACCCCGUCAGCUCCGCCCCUUCCUCUCCUCCUCCUCCUCCUCCUCCAGUGUACGCCCCCGCUUCUCCGUCCGCGCUGCAGCGGCGUCGGCGUCCGCUCCGGCGCAGCGCGAGGCCGUCGCGGGUGUCCCAUGGGGCUGCGAGAUCGAGUCCCUGGAGAGCGCGGCGUCGCUGGAGCGGUGGCUCACCGCGUCGGGUCUCCCCGAGCAGCGGCUGGCCCUAGAGAAGGUGGACAUCGGCGAGCGCGGCCUCGUCGCGCUCAAGAACGUCCGGAAUGGAGAGAAGCUGCUCUUCGUGCCCCCGACCCUCGUCAUCACCGCCGAUUCGGAAUGGAGCAACCGCGAGGUUGGGGAUGUGAUGAAGAGGUACUCUGUGCCGGACUGGCCGCUUCUCGCCACCUACCUCAUAAGCGAAGCCAGCUUGGAGGGUUCGUCGAGGUGGAGCAGCUACAUCGACGCAUUGCCUAGGCAGCCUUACUCGCUUUUGUACUGGACUCGCACCGAGAUAGAUGCAUACUUGGCGGCUUCCCCAAUCAGGGAACGGGCAAUUUCAAGGAUCAGUGAUGUGAUUGGGACAUACAACGACCUUCGAGAUCGAAUAUUUUCUAAAUAUCCAGAUUUGUUCCCCGAGAAGGUAUACACCAUGGAGAACUUUAGAUGGUCCUUCGGCAUUCUCUUCUCACGUCUGGUUCGUUUAGAAUCAAUGGACGGAAAGGUUGCACUAGUUCCUUGGGCAGAUAUGCUUAACCACAGCCCUGAGGUAGAUGCAUUCCUGGAUUAUGACAAGUCAUCGCAAGGAAUAGUCUUCACCACUGAUCGUUCGUAUCAACCAGGUGAGCAGGUGUUCAUAUCCUAUGGGAAGAAAUCCAGUGGUGAGCUAUUGCUUUCCUAUGGUUUUGUACCAAAAGAGGGAACAAAUCCAAAUGAUUCAGUUGAAUUCUUGGUGUCUCUUAACAAGUCUGAUGAGUGCUACAAAGAGAAAUUACAAGCACUAAAGAAACACGGUUUGUCAGAGUCUGAAAGUUUCCCCUUGAGGGUCACAGGGUGGCCAGUUGAGCUGAUGGCUUAUGCCUUCCUCGUAGUCAGUCCUCCUGAGAUGAUUCAAUGCUUUGAGGAGAUGGCUGUUGCUGCAUCCAAUAAAGGUUCAUCCAAGCCUGCACUUAAUUAUCCCGAGCUGGACGAGGAGGCUCUUCAGUUUAUCUUGGACUGCUGUGAAUCUAGUAUAAAAAAAUAUACCAAGUACCUAGAGGGCGCCAAGGGUUCUGCGGAAGUCUCCAUCAAUACAAAGCAGGCCAACAGGACCUUGCUACUAAAACAGCUAGCAAGAGAUCUGUGCAUCAGCGAACGGAGAAUCCUGUAUCGUUCACAAUACAUAUUGCGUAGGAGAUUGAGGGACAUGAGGGCCGGCGGUGAGCUUAAAGCUCUGUCACUAUUCACUGGUCUCAGAAAUCUCUUCAAAUAA